AGCGAACGCUGGCGGCAGGCCUAACACAUGCCAGUCGAACGAACUCUUCGGAGUUAGUGGCGGACGGGUGAGUAACACGUGGGAACGUGCCUUUUGGUUCGGAAUAACUCAGGGGAACUUGUGCUAAUACCGAAUGUGCCCUUCGGGGGAAAGAUUUAUCGCCAUUAGAGCGGCCCGCGUCUGAUUAGCUAGUUGGUGAGGUAACGGCUCACCAAGGCGACGAUCAGUAGCUGGUCUGAGAGGAUGACCAGCCACACUGGGACUGAGACACGGCCCAGACUCCUACGGGAGGCAGCAGUGGGGAAUCUUGCGCAAUGGGCGAAAGCCUGACGCAGCCAUGCCGCGUGAAUGAUGAAGGUCUUAGGAUUGUAAAAUUCUUUCACCGGGGACGAUAAUGACGGUACCCGGAGAAGAAGCCCCGGCUAACUUCGUG
rnacentral:rRNA from 1 species